rnacentral:lncRNA from 1 species
CAUUUCAAAAUUCAAAUGACUGAAAAAAUGGUGUAUGCCAAGAAAGAUGUUCGGGGAGGUCGUCGGAUUUUUGGCCAGAUUUGGUCGCAGGAUUUUUGAGGUAGAAUUGACAUUAAUAGCUAGGUCUUGAGAAACUCUAUCCGUUGAUGCAUGUACUGUAGGGUGGUAGUAGCCGAAACUUCAAUAACUUGGGCGAAAAAGUGACGGAAAAGUUUCUUAGAUCUAAGAUUCAAGGAGUUUGAGAGUUGUUUGAAUGAUUUGAUUUAGAGAUAUGGAAAGAGGAGGUGGUAGAGAUUACAUGGUGAAAUUUUAGGGCGGAUUGAAGGUCGACCGCCGCCGGUGGAAGAUUUUCGGCAGCGGCAAUGGGGCGGCCCGGCGGCUUGGGGGGAGAGAGAAGAGGGAGUGAUGAAAGGGAAAGAAGAGAGAGGAAAUAAUGGGAAAAUGGGGCAAAAUUUUGAGAAUUUUAGGCUUUAAAUGCCUAGGAUGAAGAUCAAACUAGGACCGUUGGAUUAAAUAAAGAUGGGUGUAUGAAAUUGAAUCUUGUCACUUAGCCAAAACGACGUAGUUUCAAAACAAAACUACAUCGUUUUAUGCUCUUCUUGGCAGCCUCUUUUGGACCGGAUUUGGGCUCAUUGGGCUACCAUUUUGGGCCAAUUUUGGCACAGUUUUAAUUAAGUUACACGCUAACCCAACUCCUACCCAUUUAUCAAACCAUUACUCAGUUAUUAAAACUUAUACAUACAUAAAUAAUCACUUGCCCACUGACUCUUUUUUUUAACUCAAAGGCCAAUUUUUGCAAAAACGGCCUUUCAGCACUCCGGGAACGCAUAUUUUAAGGCGGUGUGGGUCAACUAGCCAAAAUCUAAAAAAUGACCAAAUGUGGCCAUUUUUGCAAAGUCAGCCUUCCGCCGUCCCUUUCGGAAACAUUCGUCUAUAUUUGACAAGAGCGGCAUCACCCGACUUCAUUAUGACAAAACUUAAAAUUGAUAUUUUUUUUGCUAUUUUAGCAAAAGGGGAGGUUGGAACCUAUGAGGGUUGCCUACGUAUCUCACAUCCGGUGAGAAUCAAAGGGUGUAGUUCGCCAAAUUAGCGAACUAUUUUAAAACAAGACUCUUUCCAUUUUUAUUUUUGGCAUUUCAUAAGGAGAUAAAUAAAACUACUGUUAAAAACAAGACUCUUUUCUUUUUCUUUUUCAACAAACAAAUGAAAAACUCUUUAUAUAUAUAUAUAUAUAUUUUUUUUUUCUAUGGGAAAACAAACUAUUUUUCUCUUUUCUAUUUUUGAAACACAACAAAAUAACUAUAUUUCCUCUUUUCAUUGUCAACAAACAACCUAUUUUGCCCCAAUUAAAAUAAAGACUCUUUUUUACAUUUUUUAUAACACAACGUAUUUUUGAACUAAAAAUAAAGACUUCUUGUUAAUAAAACACCCUAUUUUUCCAUUGGCAAAUAAACGUAUUUUGAAACAUAAAUCAAGGCUCUUUUUUUCUUUUCUCAUGAAAAAACAAACUAUUUUUUCUUUUCAUUUUUGCAAACAAGACAAACUAAAAAAAUGACGGACUCGUUUUGAAUAAAACAACUAUUUAAAAAUAAAAUAUUUAUGUAUUUUCUCAAAGUUUCGGCAGAGUUUCCAUAGUAUUUGGACAUAAAAAGACUCUCUUUUUUUAAAUUUUCUAAUGUUCCCGAGAUUCAGAAGCCGGUCAACAUGCGGGUCCGAAAAAAAUAAAUGCACGGAACACAAGUAGGAUGCAUCAAGAUGGUCUUUUCUGUUUCUGUUUGCUAUUCCUAGACGGACCCAACCCCUGUGUUGAGACCCCUAAGCCAAAUGCAAAGUGAUGCAAAUAAGUGUUCCUACUAGGGAUCCGGCAUGAAGCUUUGCUAUUCUAGGUUUCAAACCUUGACUUUUGUUCUAGACCUGACUUACCCGAUCGGACAACUCGAGCCGAGGAGGGUCAAGCGUCACCUGUAGUAGAACAACACUAGCUAGGUAACGGCUCUCCCGCCUAAACAUGUGUGGCUGAAUCCUUCACCAGAAGUUGGUAGGCUAACUGGCUUUAUCUCAAGAUAGAAGUUUUGUGAUGCUGGUAGGCAAACACAACAUAACUACCUAUGAGAAGACUCAAAGGAAGAAUGGGUUUCGUAACAAUUUAUAUGUACAGUUCAAAUAAUAUCAAAGCGGUAAAAGGAAACCUUUUGCACAUCAAAUCCAAAAAUGUAAUAAACAUCAGAUAAUAAAGAAAGCAAAAUACAACAAUUAUUCUAAGCUCGAAUUUCUACCCCUGAACUAGAGGUUCUGGGCCAGUCCCCAGCAGAGUCACUAGAGCCGUCACACCUCCUUUUUUCGCACCCUGCAAAGGGUUAAGGGAGUUUUUCCAAUUAAAGAACAAUCGAAACAGUUUUUUUUAUUUAAUUCAGAGUCGCCACUUGGGAGAUACAUGGUGUCCCAAGUCACCGGUCGAAUCCCCAGUCGAGGAAAAUAUUGACUUUGUUUAACAGUCUGCGAACCAGAUAUCCGAAUAAGGAAUUCUGUUAACCUGGGAGAAGGUGUUAGGCAUUCCCGAGUUCCGUGGUUCCAGCACGGUCGCUCAACUGUCAUAUUCGGAUUGUUUAUCUGAUUUUAAAGCAUGAUGAACCUAUGUGAAAAUUUUAACUUUUAACCGCCUUUAUUCUUUUUUUAUUUUUUUUACAUUAAAGAAAAGAUUUGAAUAUUAAUUUAAAACUUAGCUGAUGAAAGAAAAUUAUUUUUAUGAGUAGUAAUUUUAAAGAUGAGACUAAUGAGAAAAAAAAAACUAUUAAUUGAUACUAUUUAAAACUAGUAACACGCGGGCUUGUCUUGACAUUGAAUGGGGCAGCCCACUAUUGGGUUGAUGGAGUCAAAUGGACUCAUGUCCAAGACAAAGUCCAAAAGCCACAAUUGCUCUUGGAUUUUAAAUCUGUAGAUGUGGCAGUUUAAAGCCAUGUUACAGAUUUAGCCCUAUCUUGCUGUUUAUAAUCCAUAGCUAACUGUUUACCAAAAAUAAGUUCACAGAUUGUCUUUUUUAAUCUAUAACUUAACUAUAAAAAACUUAUGGGGACUCUAAAAUAUAAUAAUAAUAAUAAUAAUAAUAAUAAUAAUAAUAAUAAUAAUUACAACUUAGCUUGGUCACAAUAAAGGGACAAACACAAAGGUUCAAUUUUUAAUAUAUAUAUAUAUAUAUAUAUUCUUGUUAAUAAAACACCCUAUUUUUCCAUUGGCAAAUAAACGUAUUUUGAAACAUAAAUCAAGGCUCUUUUUUUCUUUUCUCAUGAAAAAACAAACUAUUUUUUCUUUUCAUUUUUGCAAACAAGACAACAAAUGCGCAGUGAAAUUAUAUCUAAUAUUUUAAAAUUAAAAAUUAAAAAAAUUUAGAAAAAAAUUAAAGAUGCUUAAUACAACUUAGUUAACUAACAUAUUGUCAUAAUAUUAACAAAUAUUCAAGAGCAUAUAAAAAUAAAUUACAAUAGAAGAAUGAAGCUACUAAUAUUUCCCAGCAUCAUUAACUUUCAUUCCAACUCAAUUUUAUAAGUUUAUAUGGUCCAAAAAUUACCUGAACAGCAGAAAGAAGAACAAAUACAGCAAAGUUAGAUCUUUCCAAAAUCAACAUCAAAAUAAUUAAAUGGGCAGCAACAACAGCAAUAGACAGUGAUGGCAGAUUCGAAUCCAAGAAAACAAAUUCAGCUCACAAUUUCAACUCUGAAGGGAUAUUAUAGCUAUAGCUACAUAUUAUUAUUAUUAUUAUUAUUAUUAUUAUUAUUAUUAUUAUUAUUAUUAUUAUUAAUAUUAUUAUUAUUAUUAUUAUUAUUAUUAUUAUUAUUAUUGUCUGUCCAGUCCCCCUCUGGAAGUGUGUUCCUCCUCUUAUUAAGUGUGAUGAAAUACCCCUAUAUAUCAAAAUAAAUAUCUAUUUCAAAAAUUCAAAAGAUAAUCUUUUUGACAGAUUUUCUACAAAGUCUGCUCUUAAAUUCAAAAAGCAAUGCUUUCUCGACCAAAUCUUGUCAAAAGAGAGAGUAUUUCAAACAAAAUCUUCCUUUUGUUGUUCAAGGAUAGACUUUUGUUCAAAAAUUGUCCACAAGUCUAUAUUCCUUCCCAAGCAAAUGACUUUUGAGUUCUGUACUCAAAAAGUCUUGAAGUAGUAAAUAAACAAACAAACAAAUACUAUAUACUCUUAUGUAUUUUUCACUACUUCACUUUUAUCAGUACAAAACUUAUUUUACAAUAUCACCAAGUGCAAAAACAAAAAAUUUAAAAUUUCAAACUUCAAAAACUAAUACUAAAAUAAUUAAUAAAAAAAAUCUUAAAAUUAAAUAUUAAAAAUUAAAAUCAACCAUGAAAAAUAAUAGCACUUUACCGUUUUACAAUUCAAAUGGCCGAAGAAAUGGUGGUAUGCCAAGAAGGAUGUUCCGGCAGGUCGCCGGAUUUUUGGACGGAUUUUGGUCGCCGGAUUUUUGAGGUAGAAUUGACAUCAAUAGCUAGGUCUUGAGGAACUCUAUCCGUUGAUGUAUGUAUUUGUAGGGUGGUAGUAGUCGGAGCUUCAAUAACUUGGGCGUAAAAGUGACGGAAAAGUUUCUUAGAUCUAAGAUUCAAGGAGUGAGCCUGAACUUCAAUAACUUGGGCAAAAAAGUGACGGAAAAGUUUCUUAGAUCUAAGCUUCAAGGACUUUGAGAGUUUUUUGAAAGAUUUGGUUUGUAGAUAUGGAAAGAGGAGGUGGUGGAGAUUACAUGGUGAAAUUUUAGGGCGCAUUGAAGGUCGGCAGCCGGUGGAAGAUUACCGGCGGCGGUAAUGGGGCGGCGCCGGUGGCUUGGGGAGGUGGGGGGCAGAGAGAAGAGGGAGUGAUGAAAGGGAAAGAAGAGAGAGG